rnacentral:rRNA from 1 species
CCUACGGGAGGCAGCAGUGAGGAAUAUUGGUCAAUGGGCGGGAGCCUGAACCAGCCAAGUCGCGUGAGGGAAGACGGUCCUAUGGAUUGUAAACCUCUUUAGGCGGGGAGCAAUGCCGGGCACGCGUGCCCGGAGGGAGAGUACCCGCAGAAUAAGCAUCGGCUAACCCCGUGCCAGCAGCCGCGGUAAUACGGAGGAUGCGAGCGUUAUCCGGCUGUAUUGGGGUUAAAGGGUGCGUAGGCGGAUUUUUAAGUCAGCGGUAAAAUGUCCGGGCUCAACCCGGGCCGGCCGUUGAAACUGGGGAUCUUGAGUGGGCGAGAAGUAUGCGGAAUGCGUGGUGUAGCGGUGAAAUGCAUAGAUAUCACGCAGAACUCCGAUUGCGAAGGCAGCAUACCGGCGCCCGACUGACGCUGAGGCACGAAAGCGUGGGGAUCGAACAGGAUUAGAUACCCCAGUAGUC